ACACAUGCAAGUCGAGCGGAUGAAAGGAGCUUGCUCCUGGAUUCAGCGGCGGACGGGUGAGUAAUGCCUAGGAAUCUGCCUGGUAGUGGGGGACAACGUUUCGAAAGGAACGCUAAUACCGCAUACGUCCUACGGGAGAAAGCAGGGGACCUUCGGGCCUUGCGCUAUCAGAUGAGCCUAGGUCGGAUUAGCUAGUUGGUGAGGUAAUGGCUCACCAAGGCGACGAUCCGUAACUGGUCUGAGAGGAUGAUCAGUCACACUGGAACUGAGACACGGUCCAGACUCCUACGGGAGGCAGCAGUGGGGAAUAUUGGACAAUGGGCGAAAGCCUGAUCCAGCCAUGCCGCGUGUGUGAAGAAGGUCUUCGGAUUGUAAAGCACUUUAAGUUGGGAGGAAGGGUUGUAGAUUAAUACUCUGCAAUUUUGACGUUACCGACAGAAUAAGCACCGGCUAACUCUGUGCCAGCAGCCGCGGUAAUACAGAGGGUGCAAGCGUUAAUCGGAAUUACUGGGCGUAAAGCGCGCGUAGGUGGUUUGUUAAGUUGGAUGUGAAAUCCCCGGGCUCAACCUGGGAACUGCAUCCAAAACUGGCAAGCUAGAGUAUGGUAGAGGGUGGUGGAAUUUCCUGUGUAGCGGUGAAAUGCGUAGAUAUA
rnacentral:rRNA from 1 species